rnacentral:rRNA from 1 species
AGUCGAAUGGCAGCACGGACUUCGGUCUGGUGGCGAGUGCGGCGAACGGGUAGUAAUGUAUCGGAACGUGCCUAGUAGCGGGGAUAACUACGCGAAAGCGUAGCUAAUACCGCACAUGCCCUUCGGGGGAAAGCGGGGACCUUCGGGCCUCGCACUAUUAGAGCGGCCGAUAUCGGAUUAGCUAGUUGGUGGGGUAACGGGCUCACUGGUUGGCGACAUCCGUAGCUGGUUUGAGGACGUGACCAGCCACAUCGGGACUGAGACACGGCCCAGACUCCACGGAGGCAGCAGUGGGGAAUUCGGACAAUGGGGAAACCCUGAUCCAGCCAUCCCGCGUGUGCGAUGAAGGCUCUUUGGGUUGGAAAGCACUUUUGCAGGAAAAGAAACGGCACGGGAUAAUACCCCGUGCACCGACGGUACCUUGCAGAAUAAGCACCGGCUAAUCAUGUGCCAGCAGCCGCGGUAAUAGUAGGUGCAAGCGUUAACGGAAUUCAUUGGGCGUAAAGCGUGCGCAGGCGGUUCGGAAAAAGAAAGAUGUGAAAUCCCAGAGCUUAACUUUGGAACUGCAUUUUUAACUACCGAGCUAGAGUGCAAGUCAGAGGGAGUGGAAUUCCCGCGUGUAGCAGUGAAAUGCGUAGAUAUGCGGAGGAACACCGAUGGCGAAGGCAGCCUCCUGGGAUAACACCGACGCUCAUGCACGCGUGGGGAGCAAACAGGAUUAGAUACCCUGGUAGUCCACGCCCUAAACGAUGUCAACUAUUGUUGGGGCCUUCGGGCCUUGGUAGCGUGGAAGCACUGCAGUGAAGUUGACCGCCUGGGAGCAAUGGUCGCAAGAUUAAAACUCAAAAGGAAUUCGACGGGGACCCGCACAAGCGGUGGAUGAUGUGGAUUAAUUCGAUGCAACGCGAAAAACCUUACCUACCCUUGACAUGUCUGAAUCCCGAAGAGAUUUGGGAGUGUUUGGCAAGAGAACCGGAACACAGUGCUGCAUGUCUGUCGUCAGCUCGUGUCGUGAGAUGUUGGGUUAAGUCCCGCAACGAGCGCAACCCUUGUCAUUAGUUGCUGUUUUUGGUGACACUGACGAGACUGCCGGUGACAACCGAGGAAGGUGGGGAUGACGUCAAGUCCUCAUGGCUCCCAUGGGUAGCUUCACAUCGCUCACAAUGGCUUCGGGACGAGGGUCGCCAACCCGCGAGGGGGAGCCAAUCCCAGAAACCCGAUCGUAGUCCGGAUCGCAGUCUGCAACUCGGACUGCGUGAAGGUCGGAAUUGCCAGUAAUCGCGGAUCAGCAUGUCGCGGUGAAUACGUUCCCGGGGUCUUGUACACACCGCCCGUCACACCAUGGGAGUGGGUUUUACCAGAAGUAGUUAGCCUAACCGUAAGGAGGGUUACUACCACGUGGUAGGAUUCAUGACUGGGGUGAAGUCGUAACGUUGCAGCC